rnacentral:rRNA from 1 species
UAGCCGUAAACGAUACUCGCUAGGUGUCGGCCACGGUGCGACCGUUGUCGGUGCCGUAGGGAAGCCGUGAAGCGAGCCACCUGGGAAGUACGGCCGCAAGGCUGAAACGUAAAGGAAUUGGCGGGGGAGCACAACAACGGGUGGAGCUUGCGGUUUAAUUGGAUUCAACGCCGGAAAUCUUACCGGGACCGACAGCAACAUGAAGGCCAAGCUGAAGACUUUGCCGGAUUAGCUGAGAGGAGGUGCAUGGCGUAGUCGUGU